GCGGACGUGGUGGAAUUGGUAGACACAUGGGACUUAAAAUCCCCCGCCUUUACCGGUGUACGGGUUCGAGUCCCGUCGUCCGCACCA
rnacentral:tRNA from 1 species